UACGUAGGGGGCAAGCGUUGUCCGGAAUCAUUGGGCGUAAAGCGCACGUAGGCGGCCUGUUAAGUCGGAUGUGAAAGCCCCGGGCUCAACCCGGGAAGUGCAUUCGAAACUGGCAGGCUUGAAUAUGGAAGAGGGUCGCGGAAUUCCCGGUGUAGAGGUGAAAUUCGUAGAUAUCGGGAGGAACACCAGUGGCGAAGGCGGCGACCUGGGCCAAUAGUUG
rnacentral:rRNA from 1 species